rnacentral:sRNA from 15 species
CAUACCGCUAGCCGCGCUCACCUCCUCCCGAGCAACGCCAGCGAGGACGCGUUUGCCCUCCUCCUCCCUUUUUGGGCGGGCGCUGAUCAAUAAGAACGGUCAUGCCCACCUCCUCCCGGGCAUGGCCGUUUUU